AACGAACGUUGGCGGCGUGGAUUAGGCAUGCAAGUCGAACGAAUCCCAUCUGGGUAACUGGGUGGGGGAAGUGGCGAAAGGGGCAGUAAGGCAUAGGUAACCUACCUCGGGGACGGGGAUAGCCUUCCUAACGGAUGGGUAAUACCCGGCGAUCUGGCGAGGGGACAUCCUCUUACCAGGAAAGGAGUUUCGCCUCGAGAGGGGCUUAUGUAGUAUUAGCUUGUUGGCGGGGUAACGGCCCACCAAGGCCAAGAUGCUUAGCAGGUGUGAGAGCACGACCUGCGCCACUGGCACUGAGACACUGGCCAGACUCCUACGGGAGGCUGCAGUCGAGGAUCUUCGGCAAUGGGCGCAAGCCUGACCGAGCGACGCCGCGUGUGCGAUUGAAGGCCUUC
rnacentral:rRNA from 1 species